AUUGAACGCUGGCGGCAUGCUUUAUACAUGCAAGUAGAACGCUGAAGUCUGGUGCUUGCACUAGACGGGUGAGUUGCGAACGGGUGAGUAACGCGUAGGUAACCUGCCUCAUAGCGGGGGAUAACUAUUGGAAACGAUAGCUAAUACCGCAUAACAGUAUUUACCGCAUGGUAGAUAUUUGAAAGGAGCAAUUGCUUCACUAUGAGAUGGACCUGCGUUGUAUUAGCUAGUUGGUGAGGUAACGGCUCACCAAGGCUUCGAUACAUAGCCGACCUGAGAGGGUGAUCGGCCACACUGGGACUGAGACACGGCCCAG
rnacentral:rRNA from 1 species